rnacentral:rRNA from 1 species
CACGUAGGGGGCAAGCGUUGUCCGGAAUUACUGGACGUAAAGCGUGCGUAGGCGGUUCGUUAAGUCUGCUGUGAAAGCCCCGGGCUCAACCUGGGAAUGGCAGUGGAUACUGGCGAGCUAGAGUGUGAUAGAGGAUGGUGGAAUUCCCGGUGUAGCGGUGAAAUGCGUAGAGAUCGGGAAGAAUACCCGUGGCGAAGGCGGCCAGCUGGGCCAGGUCCGACACUGAGGCGCGAAAGCGUGGGGAGCAAACAGG